rnacentral:rRNA from 1 species
UACGGAGGGAGCUAGCGUUGUUCGGAUUUACUGGGCGUAAAGGGCGCGUAGGCGGCCACCGCAAGUCGACUGUGAAAUCUCCGGGCUUAACCCGGAAAGGUCAGCCGAUACUGCGGGGCUAGAGUGCAGAAGGGGCAACUGGAAUUCUCGGUGUAGCGGUGAAAUGCGUAGAUAUCGAGAGGAACACCUGCGGGGAAGGCGGGUUGCUGGGCUGACACUGACGCUGAGGCGCGAAAGCUAGGGGAGCGAACGGG